rnacentral:rRNA from 1 species
CGUUAAAUCGACCGCCUGGGGAGUACGGCCGCAAGGUUAAAACUCAAAUGAAUUGACGGGGGCCCGCACAAGCGGUGGAGCAUGUGGUGUAAUUCGAUGCAACGCGAAGAACCUUACCUGGUCUUGACAUCCACAGAACUUUACAGAGAUGGAUUGGUGCCUUCGGGAACUGUGAGACAGGUGCUGCAUGGCUGUCGUCAGCUCGUGUUGUGAAAUUUUGGGUUAAGUCCCGCAACGAGCGCAACCCUUAUCCUUUGUUGCCAGCGGUCCGGCCGGGAACUCAAAGGAGACUGCCAGUGAUAAACUGGAGG